rnacentral:rRNA from 1 species
AUUGAACGCUAGCGGCAUGCCUAACACAUGCAAGUCGAACGAGUGGCGGACGGGUGAGUAAUGUCUGGGAAACUGCCUGAUGGAGGGGGAUAACUACUGGAAACGGUAGCUAAUACCGCAUACCAUCGGAUGUGCCCAGAUGGGAUUAGCUAGUUGGUGGGGUAAAGGCUCACCUAGGCGACGAUCCCUAGCUGGUCUGAGAGGAUGACCAGCCACACUGGAACUGAGACACGGCCCAGACUCCUACGGGAGGCAGCAGUGGGGAAUAUUGGACAAUGGGCGAAAGCCUGAUGCAGCCAUGCCGCGUGUAUGAAGAAGGCCUUCGGGUUGUAAAGUACUUUCAGCGGGGAGGCGUUACCUGCAGAAUAAGCACCGGCUAACUACGUGCCAGCAGCCGCGGUAAUUC